UAGGGAAUCUUCGGCAAUGGACGAAAGUCUGACCGAGCAACGCCGCGUGAGUGAAGAAGGUUUUCGGAUCGUAAAACUCUGUUGUUAGAGAAGAACAAGGACGUUAGUAACUGAACGUCCCCUGACGGUAUCUAACCAGAAAGCCACGGCUAACUACGUGCCAGCAGCCGCGGUAAUACGUAGGUGGCAAGCGUUGUCCGGAUUUAUUGGACGUAAAGCGAGCGCAGGCGGUUUCUUAAGUCUGAUGUGAAAGCCCCCGGCUCAACCGGGGAGGGUUAUUGGAAACUGGGAGACUUGAGUGCAGAAGAGGAGAGUGGAAUUCCAUGUGUAGCGGUGAAGUGCGUAGAUAUAUGGAGGAACACCAGUGGCGAAGGCGGCUCUCUGGUCUGUAACUGACGCUGAGGCUCGAAAGCGUGGGGAGCAAACAGG
rnacentral:rRNA from 1 species